CACAAUGGGCGAAAGCCUGAUGCAGCGACGCCGCGUGAGGGAUGACGGCCUUCGGGUUGUAAACCUCUUUCAGCAGGGAAGAAGCGAAAGUGACGGUACCUGCAGAAGAAGCGCCGGCUAACUACGUGCCAGCAGCCGCGGUAAUACGUAGGGCGCAAGCGUUGUCCGGAAUUAUUGGGCGUAAAGAGCUCGUAGGCGGCUUGUCACGUCGGUUGUGAAAGCCCGGGGCUUAACCCCGGGUCUGCAGUCGAUACGGGCAGGCUAGAGUUCGGUAGGGGAGAUCGGAAUUCCUGGUGUAGCGGUGAAAUGCGCAGAUAUCAGGAGGAACACCGGUGGCGAAGGCGGAUCUCUGGGCCGAUACUGACGCUGAGGAGCGAAAGCGUGGGGAGCGAACAGGAUUAGAUACCCUGGUAGUCCACGCCGUAAACGGUGGGCACUAGGUGUGGGCUACAUUCCACGUUGUCCGUGCC
rnacentral:rRNA from 1 species